rnacentral:lncRNA from 1 species
AGAGAGAUUAAUAUGAGAGAGACAGUAUUGUUUGUCGUCUCUCUCCUCCCCCAUCUCUGUCCACUGAAUAGUCUUCCUCUUGGGAAUCGGUAACACCGACCUCUCCUUUUACAACAUACCUCAAGAAUAAUUUCUGGAUUUUUCUCCUUUUCUUCAAAAGCACCGCAUUAAUUUUUGUGAGCAGCUACAAGUAUAUUUUGAAUUUGUUUCUGUGAGCAUAAUUGUGCAGAGCAUUAGAUCUCUUACUGCUUCAGGU